rnacentral:rRNA from 1 species
CACAUAUCAUCCGCCAGGGGACUACGAGCGCUAGCUUAAAACCCAAAGGACUUGACGGUGUCUCAGACCCGCCUAGAGGAGCCUGUUCUAGAACCGAUAAUCCCCGUUGAACCUCCCCAUCCCUUGUUCUCCCCGCCUAUAUACCGCCGUCGCAAGCUUACCCUGUGAAGGGCCUACAGUAAGCAAAAUGGGUAAACCCCAGAACGUCAGGUCGAGGUGUAGCUUACGAGAUGGAAAGAAAUGGGCUACAUUUUCUACAACAGAAUAUCACGAACGGCACCAUGAAAUUUAGUGCCUGAAGGUGGAUUUAGCAGUAAAAAA